CCUCGACCCUCCGGCGGCUGCCGACUCACCCAAGCGUAGGCGAGUCGCCUUCUCCCCGUUUCCUCUUCAUCCCUUUUGCUCCUCUUUUCCUCCACGAUCGAGACGAUUCUUGAAAGAUCCAACUGUGCUCGCUCGUGUACCAGGCCGCCUGCACCACCGGCGGGAUCGACGGCUGCCGCCUGCUCGAUCUCGUCUAGUGUAACAUGCAGGCGCUCGUGUUUCAUGCAGUAGAAGACAUUUCUGCGUGAUUAUUCCAACUGUAGUUGUAGUUGCAGAGCAAUGUCGUAUUUGGUGCUGCACACCGUUCCUCUUGAAAUCAGACUAUGAUUAUCGAGAUUUUAUGUGUGCAUACAGUAAAUGUUCCUCUCUGCUUGAGUGUUCUCCAGUUCGACAGCCCAUGGAGUUGCACUUCAAUGAUGUGGCAUACAGAGUAUCCACUAACUGGAUGUUUUCUUUUCAUCUGUUUUCACAAUCAAACAACAGAACUCUCGUAAUGUUUGAAACAUAAAACCCACUGUGUUCCUUUAUUUGCCAUCUUUCUGUUAAAAAUCUUCAUUUUUCUUCCCAUUCAGCUUUCAUUUUAUUUGUUACUACUUACUGAAUAAUGUUAUAUUUUCUGCUUCUGCUUUUGCACACAGUUCUUGAAAUCAGACUAUGGUUGUCAGGAUUUUACGUGUGCAUAUAGCAAAUGGUCUUGUCUGCUCGACUCUUCUCCAGCUUGACAGCAGAUGGUGUUGCACGCCAAUGAAGUGAAAGCAAAAACAUUCUUCCAAGAUAAAAGGAUGAUCAAACGCACAAGGUCUCGAGAGUCAGCAGUCCUACUACGACUCCUCACUACACCGCAACAAGAAAGUCUAAGUUCAACUUCAUGAUUGACAAGCAGCAAAGAA